rnacentral:rRNA from 1 species
GGAAGCCUUUGCACCCCGGGAGGGGCAAGUGCAGCGACUAUAAACAAAGCAUUUUUAGCAGGUAGCCAUUAGGCUGCAACACAAUCGAAUUGCGGGAAUGUUCUAAAGCUUUACAGUACCAACUUAGUUUAGGAAACUUGCUGAGGGCCUAUGCUAAUGACAUAGGGUAUGGUUACAAUCUGUAGAGAUAUUACAAUGGACUAUUCGCAGCGAAGCCUCUAACAGCGCAAGCUCAUGAGGACCGUUCACAGACUAAGUGGUUGUGGGUUACAGGCUUUAGAGCCUGUGCCUAAGAUAUAGUCGGGCUAUUGAAGAGAUUCGAUAGGGUGUUUCGCACCAAACCGUUCCGUAGGUGAACCUGCGGAAGGAUCAUUACAGAGUUCAUGCCCUAACGGGUAGACCUCCACCCUUGUGUAUUUAUACUUUGUUGCUUUGGCGAGCUGCCCUGGGCUUAAUUGCCCAGAGCCCCAGGCUUUCGAGCCUGAGAGUCGUUCGCCGAAGGAAAACUAAACCCUGAUAAUUAUUGUCGUCUGAGUACUAUAUAAUAGUUAAAACUUUCAACAACGGAUCUCUUGGUUCUGGCAUCGAUGAAGAACGCAGCGAAAUGCGAUAAGUAAUGUGAAUUGCAGAAUUCAGUGAAUCAUCGAAUCUUUGAACGCACAUUGCGCCCCUUGGUAUUCCGGGGGGCAUGCCUGUUCGAGCGUCAUUUCAACCCUCAAGCUUAGCUUGGUAUUGGGCUUCGUCAGUAAAAUGGCGGGCUUUAAAAUCAGUGGCGGCGCCACUAGGCCCUGAACGUAGUAAUAUAUUUCGUUAUAGGUGUCUGGUGUGCUUCUGCCAUUAAACCCCCAAUUUUUUA